rnacentral:lncRNA from 1 species
CAGCAAGGCGUAAUAGUAAUCUAGACACUGACAUUGAGAUGAAAAAAUCGUAAAAUCAAACAUGACAAUAAAUCGAAUAUUUUUGUAAUUCUACAGUUAUAAACUAAGCAUAUAAUCAUGUCUACAGAAAUAAAGUAUAACAAAAUAAUUAUAAGUACUAGCAAUUUAUUUAACAUAAAAUAGACACCAACAUAGAUCUCA